rnacentral:rRNA from 1 species
AUGAACGCUGGCGGCGUGCCUAAUACAUGCAAGUCGAGCGAACAGACGAGGAGCUUGCUCCUCUGACGUUAGCGGCGGACGGGUGAGUAACACGUGGAUAACCUACCUAUAAGACUGGGAUAACUUCGGGAAACCGGAGCUAAUACCGGAUAAUAUAUUGAACCGCAUGGUUCAAUAGUGAAAGACGGUUUUGCUGUCACUUAUAGAUGGAUCCGCGCCGCAUUAGCUAGUUGGUAAGGUAACGGCUUACCAAGGCGACGAUGCGUAGCCGACCUGAGAGGGUGAUCGGCCACACUGGAACUGAGACACGGUCCAGACUCCUACGGGAGGCAGCAGUAGGGAAUCUUCCGCAAUGGGCGAAAGCCUGACGGAGCAACGCCGCGUGAGUGAUGAAGGUCUUCGGAUCGUAAAACCCUGUUAUUAGGGAAGAACAAAUGUGUAAGUAACUAUGCACGUCUUGACGGUACCUAAUCAGAAAGCCACGGCUAACUACGUG